GACGAACGCUGGCGGCGUGCUUAACACAUGCAAGUCGAACGGAAAGGCCCUGCUUUUGUGGGGUGCUCGAGUGGCGAACGGGUGAGUAACACGUGAGUAACCUGCCCUUGACUUUGGGAUAACUUCAGGAAACUGGGGCUAAUACCGGAUAGGAGCUCCUGCUGCAUGGUGGGGGUUGGAAAGUUUCGGCGGUUGGGGAUGGACUCGCGGGUUAUCAGCUUGUUGGUGGGGUAGUGGCUUACCAAGGCUUUGACGGGUAGCCGGCCUGAGAGGGUGACCGGCCACAUUGGGACUGAGAUACGGCCCAGACUCCUACGGGAGGCAGCAGUGGGGAAUAUUACACAAUGGGCGGAAGCCUGAUGCAGCAACGCCGCGUGCGGGAUGACGGCCUUCGGGUUGUAAACCGCUUUCGCCUGUGACGAAGCGUGAGUGACGGUAAUGGGUAAAGAAGCACCGGCUAACUACGUG
rnacentral:rRNA from 1 species